UACAGAGGUCCCAAGCGUUGUUCGGAUUCAUUGGGCGUAAAGGGUGCGUAGGCGGCGCGGUAAGUCGGAUGUGAAAUCUCGGAGCUUAACUUCGAAACUGCAUUCGAUACUGCCGUGCUUGAGGACUGGAGAGGAGACUGGAAUUUACGGUGUAGCGGUGAAAUUCGUAGAUAUUCGGAAGAACACCAGUGGCGAAGGCGACUCACUGGACACGUAUUGACGCUGAGGUGCGAAAGCGUGGGGAGCAAACAGG
rnacentral:rRNA from 1 species